AUGAACGCUGGCGGCGUGCCUAAUACAUGCCAGUCGAGCGAACAGACGAGGAGCUUGCUCCUCUGACGUUAGCGGCGGACGGGUGAGUAACACGUGGAUAACCUACCUAUAAGCCUGGGAUAACUUCGGGAAACCGGAGCUAAUACCGGAUAAUAUAUUUAACCGCAUGGUUCAAUAGUGAAAGACGGUUUUGCUGUCACUUAUAGAUGGAUCCGCGCCGCAUUAGCUAGUUGGUAAGGUAACGGCUUACCAAGGCAACGAUGCGUAGCCGACCUGAGAGGGUGAUCGGCCACACUGGAACUGAGACACGGCCCAGACUCCUACGGGAGGCAGCAGUAGGGACUCUUCCGCAAUGGGCGAAAGCCUGACGGAGCAACGCCGCGUGAGUGAUGAAGGUCUUCCGAUCGUAAAACUCUGUUAUUAGGGAAGAACAAAUGUGUAAGUAACUAUGCACGUCUUGACGGUACCUAAUCAGAAAGCCACGGCUAACUACGUG
rnacentral:rRNA from 1 species